rnacentral:rRNA from 1 species
UACGUAGGAGGCAAGCGUUGUCCGGAAUUACUGGGUGUAAAGCGCGUGUAGGCGGCAGGCCAAGUCUGUGGUGAAAUCGCUCGGCUCAACUGGGCGGGGUCCAUGGAAACUGGUCAGCUGGAGGACGGUAGAGGUGAGUGGAAUUCCCGGUGUAGUGGUGAAAUGCGUAGAGAUCGGGAGGAACACCAGAGGCGAAGGCGGCGACCUGGACAGGUACUGACACUCAACUACGAAAGCGUGGGGAGCAAACAGG